GAGUUUGAUCAUGGCUCAGGAUGAACGCUGGCGGUAUGCUUAACACAUGCAAGUCGAACGGAUGUCUUCGGACAUUAGUGGCGGACGGGUGAGUAACGCGUGAGAAUCUGCCUACAGAAUGGGGAUAACGUCGGGAAACUGACGCUAAUACCGAAUGAGCCGAGAGGUAAAAGAUUUAUCGUCUGUAGAUGAGCUCGCGUCUGAUUAGCUAGUUGGGGAGGUAAUGGCUCACCAAGGCGACGAUCAGUAACUGGUCUGAGAGGAUGACCAGUCACACUGGGACUGAGACACGGCCCAGACUCCUACGGGAGGCAGCAGUGGGGAAUUUUCCGCAAUGGGCGCAAGCCUGACGGAGCAAUACCGCGUGCGGGAGGAAGCUUUUUGGAGUGUAAACCGCUUUUCUCAGGGAAGAUGAUGACGGUACCUGAGGAAUCAGCAUCGGCUAACUUCGUGCCAGCAGCCGCGGUAAUACGAGGGAUGCAAGCGUUAUCCGGAAUUAUUGGGCGUAAAGCGUUCGUAGGUGGCUAAGUUAGUCUGUCGUUAAAGCGUGGAGCUUAACUCCAUACCGGCGAUGGAAACUGCUUGGCUAGAGUAUGGUAGGGGUAAGAGGAAUUCCCAGUGUAGCGGUGAAAUGCGUAGAUAUUGGGGAAGAACACCAGCGGCGAAAGCGUCUUACUGGGCCAUUACUGACACUGAGGGACGAAAGCUAGGGGAGCGAAAGGGAUUAGAUACCCCUGUAGUCCUAGCCGUAAACGAUGAGAACUAGGUGUUGCGCGUAUCGACCCGCGCGGUGCCGUAGCCAACGCGUUAAGUUCUCCGCCCUGGGGAGUACGCACGCAAGUGUGAAACUCAAAGGA
rnacentral:rRNA from 1 species